rnacentral:rRNA from 1 species
UACGAAGGGGGGCUAGCGUUGCUCGGAAUGACUGGGCGUAAAGGGCGCGUAGGCGGAUUGUACAGUCAGGCGUGAAAUUCCUGGGCUCAACCUGGGGGCUGCGUUUGAUACGUAUGGUCUUGAGUUCGGAAGAGGGUCGUGGAAUUCCCAGUGUAGAGGGUGAAAUUCGUAGAUAUUGGGAAGAACACCGGUGGCGAAGGCGGCGACCUGGUCCGAUACUGACGCUGAGGCGCGAAAGCGUGGGGAGCAAACAGGAUUGAGAAAC